UAUUUGUAUGUACCUUAUGAAUAAGCAUCGGCUAACUCCGUGCCAGCAGCCGCGGUAAUACGGAGGAUGCGAGCGUUAUCCGGAUUUAUUGGGUUUAAAGGGUGCGUAGGCGGGUUGAUAAGUCAGCGGUGAAAUCUUGGAGCUUAACUCCGAAACUGCCGUUGAAACUGUUAACCUUGAGUGUGAACGAGGUAGGCGGAAUUCGUGGUGUAGCGGUGAAAUGCAUAGAUAUCACGAAGAACUCCGAUAGCGCAGGCAGCUUACCAGAUCACAACUGACGCUGAAGCACGAAAGUGUGGGUAUCAAACAGGAUUAGAUACCCUGGUAGUCCACACAGUAAACGAUGAAUACUCACUGUUUGCGAUAUACAGCAAGCGGUCAAGCGAAAGCGUUAAGUAUUCCACCUGGGGAGUACGCCGGCAACGGUGAAACUCAAAGGAAUUGACGGGGGCCCGCACAAGCGGAGGAACAUGUGGUUUAAUUCGAUGAUACGCGAGGAACCUUACCCGGGCUCGAACGGCAGUGGAAUAUAGUGGAAACAUUAUAGCUAGUAAUAGCCGCUGUCGAGGUGCUGCAUGGUUGUCGUCAGCUCGUGCCGUGAGGUGUCGGCUUAAGUGCCAUAACGAGCGCAACCCUUAUCUUUAGUUACCAUCAGGUUAAGCUGGGGACUCUAGAGAGACUGCCACCGUAAGGUGUGAGGAAGGUGGGGAUGACGUCAAAUCAGCACGGCCCUUACGUCCGGGGCUACACACGUGUUACAAUGGGAGGGACAAAGGGCAGCUACCGGGCGACCGGAUGCUAAUCUCCAAACCCUCUCCCAGUUCGGAUUGGAGUCUGCAACCCGACUCCAUGAAGCUGGAUUCGCUAGUAAUCGCGCAUCAGCCAUGGCGCGGUGAAUACGUUCCCGGGCCUUGUACACACCGCCCGUCAAGCCAUGAAAGCCGGGAGUACCUGAAGUACGUAACCGUAAGGAUCGUCCUAGGGUAAUACUGGUAAUUGGGGCUAAGUCGUAACAAGGUA
rnacentral:rRNA from 1 species